UACGGGGGGAGCAAGCGUUGUUCGGAUUUACUGGGCGUAAAGGGCGCGUAGGCGGCGUGACAAGUCACUUGUGAAAUCUCCGGGCUUAACUCGGAACGGUCAAGUGAUACUGUCGUGCUAGAGUACAGAAGGGGCAACUGGAAUUCUCGGUGUAGCGGUGAAAUGCGUAGAUAUCGAGAGGAACACCUGCGGCGAAGGCGGGUUGCUGGGCUGAUACUGACGCUGAGGAGCGAAAGCCAGGGGAGCGAACGGG
rnacentral:rRNA from 1 species